GGCGGGGUGGAGCAGCCCGGUAGCUCGUCAGGCUCAUAACCUGAAGGUCACAGGUUCAAAUCCUGUCCCCGCAACCA
rnacentral:tRNA from 1 species